UGAAACUAUUCAAGGAUCAUUUACAGUCCCCUACUCCUCUAGGUUUUUCUUGACCUUUAGGUUGGAAAUCACAUCCUCAAAACCCUCAUAGAUUUCUGAGCCCAACCCAGCCAGAUCUGCUGAGCCUCCAAGCAUGCCAUCUUGAUCUGUUCUUCUUUGCUUUCUACCUCUCGAGUGAUUCCUAUUCAGCUACCCAGUACAGGAUCGCAGGCCAGCUUUUUACAUGGGAUGAAAGAAUGGAUGGAUGGACAUUUAUUUAUUUAUUUUUUAAUUCGGUGCUAUGGAUCAAAUCCAGUGCCUCAGUAGUAGGCAGGCAUUCUACCACUGAGCCACAACCCCAGCCCCUCAACUGAAAAAUUUUUAAACACUGAGAAUUUAUUGUUAUUUAUGCUCCUGCCUUAAAGAGACACCUUACUUAUACAAACAUCGUGUAAAUGUCUACUAAUCAAAAAUUGAAGACUCUUUUUUUACUAUUUGCAUACAGUGCUUGUGCACCACCUCUCUAAGGAAGCCCAACAAGCAUUAUAUUUUGUUCUGUAAAAUGAGGACAGUGAGGUGCUAGGAGAUUUAAGAGCUAUACAUCUAGCAUUAAAGCUCCAGCAUUAGAACCAAGGCUAGGCCUUUGCGCUUUCUCCCUAUUCUGCUAUGAAGUGUCCCCUGAAAGUUCCUGUAUUGGGAACUUAAUCCCCAAAGUCUUAUGUUAAUGGUAUUUGAAGGUGGGACCUUUGAGAGGUAUUUGGAUUCAUGAGGGUGAAUCCUCAUGAUGGCAUUAGUGGCUUAAUAGGAAGAGGGACCCACACUGGCUAACACUUGUUGUGUUUCAUCAUGUGACACCUUCCAUGUUAGGCUGUAGUAAGAAAGCCC
rnacentral:lncRNA from 1 species